rnacentral:rRNA from 1 species
GACGAACGCUGGCGGCGUGCCUAAUACAUGCAAGUAGAACGCUGAAGAGAGGAGCUUGCUCUUCUUGGAUGAGUUGCGAACGGGUGAGUAACGCGUAGGUAACCUGCCUUGUAGCGGGGGAUAACUAUUGGAAACGAUAGCUAAUACCGCAUAACAAUGGAUGACACAUGUCAUUUAUUUGAAAGGGGCAAUUGCUCCACUACAAGAUGGACCUGCGUUGUAUUAGCUAGUAGGUGAGGUAAUGGCUCACCUAGGCGACGAUACAUAGCCGGCCUGAGAGGGUGAUCGGCCACACUGGGACUGAGACACGGGCCAGACUCCUUCGGGAGGCAGCAGUAGGGAAUCUUCGGCAAUGGGGGCAACCCUGACCGAGCAACGCCGCGUGAGUGAAGAAGGUUUUCGGAUCGUAAAGCUCUGUUGUAAGUCAAGAACGGGUGUGAGAGUGGAAAGUUCACACUGUGACGGUAGCUUACCAGAAAGGGACGGCUAACUACGUG